GCUGCCCCGCACCGCAGCUCUGGCGGGGGCGGCCACGGCAACGCGGGGAGCGCCGGCUGGGGACAGAGGGCUCGGGGGAGUUCUGGAAGAAUGCAAGGAUUUCGGUUCGGUCCCUGAGAAAUGCUGCGGCACGUAUUUGGCUGGCGGGAGAUCUCGCACUGCCCUUGCAGCCAGCGCCCGUUUGCAUCCCAGCAGACACAAAGAGCGCCCCGGCUCCAGAGCGGGGGGUGUCCCGGGCGGCUCCUUCCCCCACAGCCCGUCCCUGCCUGGAGACUGCCCAGACAUGGGCAGCGUACCGGGGCGCGCUGGCUGUGCGCGGGGGCGCUGGAGCCCGGUGCCCGUACCCGGAGCGCUGGAGCCCGGUGCCCGUACCCGGAGGACGACCAGGGACGGGCGGCCUGCCGGGGGAGCGACCCUGCGCGUCGCCGGCCCUGCCCGUUGCCAUGGAGACGCGGCCCGCCCGUUGCCAUGGAGACGCGGCCCGCCCGCUGCCAUGGGGACGCGGCCCGGCGAGCGGCGCCUCCAACCGGGCGCAGCCCGCGGCGGCCCGGCCUGCCCCAGCAGCUCACCGCGGCCCCGGGCCGGCCGGGCCGUGCGGGGCCGGGGCGGCGCCUGCGAGCGAGGCCGGCGGGGCCGGGGAGAGCCCGCAGCCGCUCCCGCCCGGGCAGCCGGAGCCCCCGUGGGGGUUCCGCGGAGCCGUGUGUGCUCCCGGGCCCGCGGGUGAGCAGAACAGCCGAGCACCCGGGCAGCGUCACGGGAAAAUACCGGUCACUGGGGAUAAUCUGCAAAUGUAUAAUCUAAAGGAGAAACUUGCUGUGUGUGUGUUCCCUUUCCAAAGCACACUGUCGUAUUUCUCAGCCCUUGCCUCCAGCCCGCCGGCUGGAAUUCGGGGUGCUCGGGGGUGCUGAGCGAUGGGUGACGGUGGCUCUGAGGGGCUCAGCGCCCGCGGGGACGACUUCGGGGGUGAGCACCUCGAAAAGGGAAACCCGCCGGGUUCCAGUUCACCAGGAGAGAUCAGGAAAGCUGUUGAACAGUGUCUGUUGUCAUCGUCACGCACUCUCGAUGUCAGCGGGAGAAAUAUUGAGCAUCUUACUGAUGAAAUGUAUAGACAGCCCCGCAUAAAGUACUUUCAUCUGGAAAGAAAUGUCAUAUCAACAAUUCCCGAGGAUUUAUUUCAAAACAGCCACGUCUCGUUUGGCUGGAUCUGUGGUAUAACAAGAUUACAGCUCUUCCUCCUGGAGUUGGGCACCACAGGCAAUUGAAAACGCUGCUUUUAGAGAAGAAUCCCAUAAAAGAGCUGCCCGCAGAGCUUGGUAAGCACUCACUGCUUUUUUUGAAGGUAUCAAAGAUAUAUUUUGGCGCUUAUUGCUUACUUCUGUGGUUAGACUUUAAAAUACUUUGAUAUUUAUCUAAAGAAUGGUUUUAAUUUACCACAAAUGUGCUAUGAGAGGGGGAAAAAUUACUUAUAUUGUUUGAUAAGAGGGGCGAAUUUUAUUAAAAUGUCUGUAGUGUUCUGGUCAGAAAUGUUCAAUACGGUUCCUCUGAGCAAGGCUGAAGUGAAAGACAUGUCUCAAAUGUCAGAUGUCUCAGGCACCUGCACAGUAACACAUAAAUCAUGAACAGCAGUUUCUUACAGUUGAGGUUGCCUUUGCCGUUUGUAACUUCAUUUUGCUAACUCCUUUUGCUUAGCAGUUAGCGUUUUGAAAUAAUGCGCGUUUCCAAAUCAAAUGUUGCUGAGGAAAACGGAGCAGGUAGGAUGGAUUCCUGGGGUGUUUCGGUGUUGGGUUUUUAAUCCCUGUUCACUGUUGUCUGAGCUGUAAAGCUCCAUGCUGUGGUAUCACUGCACCACAGCCGUGCCAGCUCUGAACCUUCGCUCGGGUUUUUCAGAAAACGUUGCUGACAUAAUACCGAUCCUCUUGCUUUCCACCUAGUGGUUAUUUUAGAGCAGUCUGGACUGGUCCCUGUGAGGCUUCCAGCAGCUCCCCUGGCAGAGCUCUCGGGGCCCCAUGUUCUCCAGGCCAGGAUCCCUGCGGCCUGUCCCAGCGCUGCGCUGGUCGCCCGCAGCCCACGCGCCGUGCACCGCACACCUGUGAUGCCUUCGUACGUGCUAGGGAAGGAAAAGCGCCCGUGGUUCAGGCGCUGCUGACUCAGCCAGGUUCACCCGCGCUGCCAGCUCGGCUCUGCUCCUCAGCUCUUAGUUGCAUCCUGCACAGGGCUCGCUCAUGGGGAGCCUAUCUCCUAGGAAACUUAUUUGAAGGAGAGCUUUCAACAGGGGAUCAGAGCAUGGAAAAGUGCAAGGAAGUGGCCUCGAACUGGAGCUGGGCUGGUGGCCCCUGCAGCCCCACUGUUGCCCGUGCGGCUGCUGGAGAGGCAUGGCUAGUAGCCCAGGCAGGGAAGGACGCAGGGCAGCACCUGGUGCGUUCCUGCUUCACGUGCGGCAGCCUGUUCCUGGGAGAGCUCUGCUCGUCGUACCCCGAGCUGAGUGGUGACUGAAUCAAAAAUACAUUAUGGGCUGAUUUAAAUAUUAUUGUGCUUAUCAAAACAGAGUGGGCCGCUGGUGUGCUGGCCCACCUGCAGUAAAAUGUGUUCAAUCCAUUGUGGUUUUCUGGACAGAUCAGGGCUCUCUUAUACUAUAAUAGUUUGAUUGUUACAGGUUUCCAGCUUGGUAUUCAAAUGAGGGAAUUCCUACCAUAUGUGACACUUAUCCAUUUCUCCUGGCUCUACGGAUGAUAGGUACCAGAAAAGAAUGCCAGCGUUCCUGCUGUGCUGCAGGUCCCGUUCCAGCCGCAGCGGCUGGCCGGAGCGCGGCAGAGCUGCGGGGCGGGUUUGCCGGGCAGCACUGGUUCCUGCUGUGCUGCAGGUCCCGUUCCAGCCGCAGCGGCUGGCCGGAGCGCGGCAGGGCUGUGGGGCUGGUUUGCCGGGCAGCACUGGUUCCUGCUGUGCUGCAGGUCCCGUUCCAGCCGCAGCGGCUGGCUGGAGCGUGGCAGGGCUGCGGGGCGGGUUUGCCGGGCAGCACUGACAGAUGGCUGGAGGCAGCGGCUGCCCCGGUCCCGUACGCGCUUGGCAGCGCAGCCGCGGCGGUGCCUGGACUGCAGGGCUGGCCCGAGCCAGGCCCGUCGCUCCGCCAGCUCUGCUGCCGAGACUCGCAGCAUCGUUUGCCUUCAUCGCUCACACACAUCCACCUCAGCGUUUCUAACAGCCGUGGGUAUCCGGGUGAGGCUGGCAGCGUGGUUGUGCUGGCGCGAUGCUUUCCUGCCAUCUGCCCUACUUUGGAUUGUCCGUUCCUUUGACAGAGCCUGUAUGUCCGUGGUGUUGCCACCUAGAGUCACAUGUACACAAUUGUGUAAUAAAUAUAGACAGAUACAUGUGUGUAUGUGUAUAUAUACAUACACACAUCUGAUGUCAAGAACUGGGCAGAACUCUCUGCCCCACAGCGGCUGAGCUGCUUUGGACUUGAAUCCUGCCAUGGUGGACCGUGCGAGACCUGGACCCACGCAGUGAUUUGAGCCUUAGCUACAGGACGCAGAGGUAACGCAGGGGUUGCCUUAAUCCAGGGUACCAGAGGCAUCUCCUUUCCCUGCGUGGAACCGUCCCUCGCAUGUCCCAGGCAGCACAGGCUUCUCGGUCACGGGGACCUGGGGGGAUGAGCGAGGGGUCCCCCCGGUAAGCCAGGAGAAAACCUGGGAGCUGCGCUGUGACACAGCAAGGGGUUGUCAAAAUCUAGUAUAUCUUUACAAAACACUCAUGUUUUGACAAGACAGCUUUUCCUGACAAAAUCAUGUUUCAUGAGCUAAUUCCCAGCCCACUCAUCCUCCCACCCUUCCCCAUUGCUCUCUCAUCCGUACACUUGCCAUCCUGAGCACCUGCAUCAGAAACCAGAGGAGAAGCUGAUGCCGGCAGCGCCAGCACCACCACACACUGGAGUCACCGUGCUGCAGCGGCCGCUCCAGCGUCCCUUGUCUGCUCUCCUCAGUGUUCAUUAGAACAUCAGGGUUGGGAUGCUGAUAUCACCAAUACCAAAUAGAAAGUUUGUCAUGUAAACUGGGAUGAGUUUGGAGGAUGAUCCGUGAUAACUCUGUCUCAACUGUUAGUCUUCCUUUCUUGGGUGUGUUUUUCACCGAGGUCUGGAAUGAAUUUGCAAUGUCUGCCUUCGUUCAUGGAUUUAUUUUUUGUUGUUGUUGUUAAAAGCGACUUGUUCAAUGAAUGAAAAAUCUUUGGAAGGGAAGCAGAAGUCUGAAUGGUAACAAACCAGCUUUGUUAUUCACCUGUGUCUCUUCCUGCAGUGUUUACACUGGUUCACCUGAUCUGUGUAGAAUUAUCAUGUGUUCUGAAUGUAGUUACUGAAGAUGAAGAAGUCCUUGCCAGUCGCCAUGUUUCCAGCAGUGCUUUCAGACUCCAGCGUGCUGUGCACUCGCUGGGCAGCACCGUGGGACACGCUGUGUGCUGCCAGCACCCGGCUGCCCACGCUCGCCUUCCUGCGCUGUCAAACGGGGUGAGAAUGCUGUUCUAGAGCCCGCCCAGCCGCCUAAAGAAAGCACCGCAUGGGAGCAGAGAACGGCACUGCUGCACCUGCCUGCGAGUGGCUUAGGAGCAGCGCUAAGGCCUGCGGGAUCUCAGUGGUGAUGUGGUUUAAACGUAAAUAAACGACGCUGCGGAGGACGACCCAGGCGCGUUCGCUGUCCCCGGGCCGGGCGGCGCGGUGCCCGAGCUGCGUGCUUGGCUGGCUCCCCGCCGCCUUCCAUUGGCUGCAAACCCGAGUGCUCUGCAGCAAGACAAAAAGAGAUUUCAUUUUGCCAGUCCUAAGUCAUCUGUGUGAUUCAUUUUGAUCAUUUCUGCUUAAAAAUAGAUUCAGUUUCUUCACACUAAACUAUUUUAAAUCUAAUUGUAUUCCCAAAUAGUUCUUUCCAAGGUGCAUUUUCAAAGCCAUUUCUUCUUGUUAAUAAUGUAGCUCUUCCAUUUCUGUGUUUGUAUUUUGCGAUUAUGUGAAGAAAUUUUCUGAUUUGUGAAUCAUGACUGUAUGAAAAUGCAUUCUGGUGGUUGUACCUCACUUAGCAAUCGUUUGGUUUUGGAUGGUUAGAACACAGACAAUCUGCUGGAGCUCCAGGUCUCAGCGCUGCUGCUGGUCAGGGCCGUGCUGCCUUCAGACGGCUGUUGGAGCAGGGGCUGCCCUGCUCGCUGCUUGGACAGACAGGCGGUGUGGGUGAGCCCGCUGGACGGGGGCCUCGCAAAGCCAACAGCAAUAAUCACACAACAGCAUAGGCAGGCUCUGUACAUGGAUUUUCAGUUUGAUGCACUUUUCUUAGUCUUACAUAGUUACACACACAGCACUGCUGGUCUGUCUUAUUUAGUUUGUAGUCAAGUAAUUCUUCCUUUAUGCCUUUUUUUUUUUUUUUUUAGGCAGUUUGUCUGGGAUGUUUCCAUGGAUCUGUGGUACCACGUCAUUCCUGUUUCUGAUUUCAGGACUCUUGUCCUUCCAGGAGCUGCUGCUGGGCCGAUUCCCUGUUGUUCCCUCAUUAACGGAACUCCCAGUAAAACAAGGACGCGUCUGGUCUGCAGCCAGCGUGUGGUACACGCGCGGUGCCGUUGCGUUUUCAUCCGAAUGCUUCCCCGGGGCUUUCAACAAAUAAUGGCUCAAUCCCAUUCCUGCUCAGUCUCUCUAAAUCACCUCAGCUGCAAUUUCAGUGCAAUUUCAGAAUAAUGAUCCCAGCAGUUCUGCCUUUCGUUGGCUUUCAGUCUGAGUUCAGCCUUAGCAGACUGCAAAGUAAUAGUUCUGAUUAAAACACGGGAGUUCUAGUUCUGGCUAUGGUCUGUGAGGAAAGAAGUAAGUGUUGAAUGGUUCUGAGGUUCCAGCUGAGUUUUCCUUGUCUCUCCAGUGUAACCUCGGUGGUGCUGGGAUGGCAAAACCCAAUUUCCUGACCCUGCCGAUCAGUCACUUGUCAGCACUGCUGGAGCUGGGACUUCUAGACAAGUAAUGUCAAACGGAGUCAUUAAUCACAUUGUUAGAUUUGUUUAGUAACAUUCCUUUCAGCUUUAAUUACUGGUAAUUUAAAAUCAAACAGUAGCUGUGCUAUUAGUAUUGUAUUUGCCAUUUCUGCAAGUAGGGUUUUCAAGAACAUGUUAAAAGAGCAAGCACACCAUUUUUACACCGUACUGCUUAAAGCAGGUAGACGCAGUCAACCUGUAGAAGGGAGGGGAGAUGAGACUGCACAGUCAGGCUGUGAAUGGAGAGUCAAAGUCUGACCCCAGUGGUACAACAUGACAAAUGUAUUCUGAUUUACUAGUUUGUCUAUGUGGCUUUCAGUGCUGCACUUCUUAAAUACGUUAUCGAAAAUAGGUGUCAGGACAAAAUAUGACAUUGCCUUUCUUUUAGAGACUCGGUAUAUGUAUUCUUGAAAGAUUUAAUGGAUUUCAACCAUUGUGCUUUUGUUUGAAUCAAAACUGACUGAAAGUAUUAUUUAAUCCUGCAAAUCUAGUUAGGAAGAAAGAGAAAAUUGUAAAUUUUAUUUUUACUUCUAUGAAACAUAAUUUAUAAAUAUUUAUAAAUACAAAUAACCACCAUAACUGUGAUUCCUGAAGCCGCCUGGGCUGUUCUGCGCUGUGCUCCCGUUUCGGCAGUGAGCGGGGGCUGCCAGCCCAGCCCUGCCCGCCGCCCCCAGCCUGGCAGGGUGACCAGGCUCAUCGGAGCGGGGAGAGAAAUACAACAGGAUAUAGUAUUUGCAUGUGUAGUAAUGGUAAUUAUCACAGAAAUCAAGAACACACUAAAUACCAGUCACUCACCGUUCAGCUGCUCAAUAUCUCCAUAAACUCCCACCUUUCAAAACGCUGGGGGGUUGGGCUCGAUGGCCUUUCAAGGUCCUUUCCAACCUGGGGUGUCUGUGAUUCUCUGUUUGCUAAAUCAUUAAUGUACUGUUUUCACAGGAAACGUAACUUCACUGACCGCCUUGAACCUGAGACACUGUCCCCUUGGAUUUCCACCUAAAGGUGUGGUGCGGAAGGGGCUGAAGCGCAUCCUGCGCUUUCUGCGGGGCGCGGGACGCUGGGCGCGGGGCGCUCGGCGUGGGACGCUGCGGCUGUGCUGGGGUCUGUUCCUGUCUGCCUGCUGUGGGUUGUUCUGAAGAGGUGCGGGCCAGGGCCAGCUUUCCUGGCGGGCUUUUCACCACAGGUUUGUCCAGCGCGCGUCUGAAGGGGUAGAUGGGGAAAAAGAAAAGCUCCAGUGUUGUGAUAGAAAAUCAAACCGGGAAUCUGAAACCUCCGAGUGGAGAAGAGGUUGUAUUUGUGUGAGAGAGUCUUAAUUAGACAUGAUGUGGUUAGAACAGAAGAUGGAGUUUUAGCAGGGGCUGUUUAGGAUGAGCAGCGCAGCAGCAUGACCAGAAGGCUGGACUGUGUCAUUAAGGUGAAAACCAGCUCAUGGAGAGGCCGGACACUUGUACGAGCAGUGGAGGGGAUAAGUACCCAGGCAGAUGAGACUUUUUAAGGGGUAGUGGGGAAACUGAGAUGUUAGGGCAAUGAAAGAGGACACUCAAUUAGCAGAAGACCGUGGGAAAACAAUGGAAACACAGAACUUGGCUUGCAGAAGAAAAGCAGAACCAAAACAAGUCCAGAUGGUCAGCGAAGCUUCUGCGUGGGGACACAGAGCGGUUCGGGGUCCCGGAGUGCUGCAGACACCGAGGAAAACGGCACCGGGUACGGGGGCAGCUGCUUGUGCCUGCCCGUGGGGACCUCACCGGCCGGUUCGAAGCACAGACCCGCUGCUUUUGAGCAGUUUGGCGCGCUCUAGAUACACCAUCCACCAGAACUGAGUUCUACAAGCUGCUUGAUACUGUUCAUCCACGUACCCAAGGCGUGACCGUGUUUGCUUGUGUUUUCCUGUUGAGCUCUCAUUCUUCAAGCACAAACACGAUGUGCUCUUUAUCACACUUUCUUCUUUUUUUCCCCACAGUAUUGUAGUUAUAAAUUUACAUUAAGAGGGUAAAAUUAAGAAGUCGUCAGCAGAGAGGAAAAGAUGCAACAUAACUUGCAUUACUUAUGGCCCAAUAGAUCCAGAAGUCAUUAAUAAUGGGAAUACUGGGCAUACUCCCACAGAAGAACUCUCCUCGUGCUGAAGCUCCGCUGCAAUGAAGGCGAAUUACUGUGGGUACCACCAGUAUCAGACUGGGCCAGGGAUGUUAAAUGUGAUAUCGUUGAAGGGAACGCAGUAAAUUCAGAGUAUGAAUGAACCACAUGCGAUGCUGUAUGGUGGAAUAAUAUAAAAAUAUCAGCUCAAGAUGCCAUGAUACUGAAAAUGAAGUCAAAAUACGGGUGUAAAGAUGACGACUAGAUCUUUUUAAUUAAUAUCAGUUUAAUGUAUGGUGUCCUUAAAGGGAACCAUGUGUUUCCAGAACUUCCUGCGAUUAUUGUCUUCAUGUUUAAAGGCCUUGUUUAUAAUUCUUGUUUUGAGACAAAUUAUAUCUCAGUAGUGUUGCUUAAUUACCGCUGUUUACCUUCCACCGUCACAUUUUGGCAUGACCUGAGGGCCAGCAGUGCAGUUUUCUACGGAGUCAAGAUUCAGCUGCGUUACGAGUGCUUAAUGUUUAUAUAAUUGUUGCCGUAGUAGUGGAGUGAUCAGGAUGUCAGGUGAGGUUGUGGACUCAGGCAUGUCUGGCUUUCAUACUGUGCAGCCUGCAGACUCGUGUGCUGUGUUAGAGAAAUCAAGCAGCUCGGGGGGCUGGCGAGUUAAACUGUGCGAGAUCCUCAGUCUUGAACAUUUGGAGGAUUUGGUCGGUAUUUGGUUAGCGUUCUGCAAAACCGCUAAUCAAAAGCACUUUCUCUGCUGAUUUUUGUCUGCAGAAGAACGUGGGAUUGCAUUCUGUCCUACUUAACUCAAAUGCAACAGACUGCAUCAACAAAACAAUUAUAAAUUAUGCUCUGGAACAGUGUUGUAACUUAAUCACGUUACCAUGUUCAAUGUUAAUUUAGAGAGUGGUAUAUUUAAAGAAAAAGAGUUCCAUGGACUUUAAUAUUUAGUAUCUGUGGGCAUGCACAUGAAGUUUGGGAACCUUCUGUAACGUGCGGGAGUGCUGCGCUCCCUCCCACGUGGCCCAUCUGUCGUGCUGGGUAGAGCAGCGUGCCGGGGUGCUGCACACACGCGCCGUGCCGAGGGGAUAACAGAAUGUACCUUGGAAUAACGUGGGGGUUUUUCUCGAAUGUGAGAAGGGGAAAUGAAACCCAGUGUGUUUCUUCUGCAGGAGCCAGGGAGCCUCCUGAAUCUGUCGUUUCUAGGGAGCCAAACCCCUGCGUGCCUCACGAUCCGCACACGGCAGUGGAAGGUGAGCGGGGUGCACGUGUUCCCCGUGCAUCAGGUGAAUACCAAAGUUCAGUUGUAUGUGAAGGUUAAUACCUAUAAAGAUGUAAUCUGAGAUAACACGAAGUGUGUUUGACCUAAGAAGCCGGCUGGGAUGAAACCCGAGGUGUGCCAAAGCUCUCAUCAGUACUUCAGUCUUAGUCAUCGCAUUACAUUGCAUGUUUAGAUUGAUUAUGUUGAAAGAGCUUUCCUGUUUUGACUCACAGAUUGCAUUUGGGCACUUGUAGUAUGUUAAUGAUUAUUGUAUCUCUUUGCUUUGGGUUUUUUCUUCCUCCGAUGUAUGGAACAUAUUUUUAACUCCUAUUCAUCAUGCAGGGAACUCUAAUUCUGUCAUAUGCAGUUCGUGUAAUACUUAUUUAUACCCAAAUGUAUAUUGGCAGGCUAUAAAUGCUGCAGAAAAAUGAAGUGAGAGAAGAAGUGAGGGUUAUAUCCAGCAUUAACUCAAUCCUUGGAUGUGUGUGCAUUAUGAGAGUCUGAAUUUCCAAUCUAUUUUUUCCCUCGGAGCAGAGAUCCCAGUGUGAGCCGGGAUUUUCCACGUGCGUGUCCUGUUUCAGGUCACCGUUACUCACCCAGCGCUCGUCACGGCCGUGUCUAAACCUGCCGACACCCGCGUGGACGCUGCCUUCAGCCGCUCGGUGCUGGGCCGGCGCCGCAGGGCUCGGUGGCCCCGGCAGUGUCACGGGGCCGCGCUCCUGGGUCCCUCCACCCGUGACAGGGACAGGGACCUGCAGAGAGCGGGGCUGUGGCCACUGCUGCGAGGCCGUGGGGGCUGCUGCCUGGCGAGGACGCGCGGCUCUCAAGCUCGCUGUACCUCCGAGGGACUGGGCGUUAGCAGGAGCGAUCGGAACGUCAAAUCGGCUUCUGCAUGGUGGAAUCGAUAAAAGGCUGGGUGGAGAGUUGACCACAUCAUGAGAUGUGUGAAUGAUCAAGCUGCUGUUGUACUCACAUUCAUCAAUAGACAGGUGGUUUCUUCCAGAACACAGAUAGCUUUAAACUCGUGAAAAAUCCUUGAGAAUAAAACACGUAUUAAAAGAAAAAAAGCCCAACAAAUCCCACUCUGUUAGACUGACUGAUUGAUGCUAUCUAAAUCCUGUUCUUUGCUUAGGAAGAAACCUAACCCAAUUGGUGUGCAGGAUGACGGUGUCUACCCUCCCUCCCAUCUAACAGGAACGACAGCUGUUGAAAAGCUGAACUUGGGCGAGCUGUUGCAGUGCGGUUUGGAUUUGUCGGGCGAGUGGCCCAAUGAAGAGGAAGAGCUGAGCCUGGAGAGGCCGAGCGGAACAACGCUGCAGGGGACGCGGCACAAGGUGGGGACACGGCGCGAGGAGCAGCACAGCGCCAGCCCGGCCCGGCCGCCCAGGUGACCGCGGUGCACACCGCUCGCCGCGGGGAUGGCACCGGCACACGCCGCUCGCCAUGGGGAUGACAGCGGCACACGCCGCUUGCCGUGGAGACCCCGCCGGGGCUGCGGGACCCGGCACUGCUGCUGGGAAACACAAAUCAUCUCAGUGCGGAUCAUCCUCUUCAUUGGCGAACACGUGUUUGAUGAAUAAAUGGUGGUUUUGACGUAAGUAUAUAGAUUACAAAAUAGCUGUUGUAUGUUCUAUUGGUUUAAGUAUUUUUCUCCAAAAUUAAAACACACCAUCAAUCUUCUCUAUUUUCUCAUGAACUUACUUCUAUAUUCCUAUUUUGAUAAUUGAACGUCCAGAUUCAUUCAACUGAAACCCAUGGAAUUUUAGAAUACAGAACAAGCAAGGACUGUAGAAUUCUGCAGGUAACUUGGUUCUUCAUUUCUAAUAUAUGCAAUAUGAUAAAUAACUAUUCUCUGCAUUCUAUGGAAUAUAUUGCAUAGGGUUAGAUAUUGAUAUUCUCACAUUUGUUUGCUUUGGGUUGUUUUGUUUGUUUGAAUAUAGAAACAAAUCCUGUAGAAUUCCUGGUUUAUGCUUAGGUUUUGUCCUCACAGGACAACCUUAGGCUUGCACUGGGUUUUAUGAAGUAAUUCACUUGGUAAAUUAAACAUGGUUUUUUGCUUGAAAUAUUUGAAUACAUUGAGAUAAACCGGACUGCUCAUAUGCAGGAUCACAAGUAAUAAGUUCUGAGUGUGUUUAUCAUUAGAUGUGCUUACUUUCCUAUGUAGUAUUUAAUUAACAAUAUCAAAAUGUCCAUUUUUAAAGGAGGGCGUCUACACAGAAAUAGAUGUACUGAGUUUCUAUCCUACGAUAGGAGAAUUCGGGCAAAGCGAGAUGAAAAAUGCACAUCAGCAGCAGAAAAGGAGCUGCGAGAGGAACAAGCUUUAUUUGGACAAAGGAAAGAUCAGUGGAAAUGGAGAGCAGUGCUCUGUUUCUGUGCCAGACGAGGGCAGUGCAAGGAGAAAUAUCCUGAAACUUGGGACUGAAGGAGAGAAGAGCUGGAGAACUGCUGCAGGCAGUCACAAUCGGAGUGGAUAUCAUCUUAAUGUCACCUCCAUUGAUGAACCUGGGACACGCGACGGGUCAGAUGAUGUUAUCCAGCAGAAUGUGGUAGGGCUGUCUGAUUCUUCAUGUUCACUCGCAUUUAUUCAGUAUCUAAACGUGCUGAGUUUGAACUGCAGUCCCGAGGUGAACCAUGGAGCUCGUUACCAGUCCUCCCAGCAGCUUAAUUACUCUGCCUGGCUUUUGGUUGAAUGUGUCCGGCUCUUUGCUGCUGUUUCCCUGCACUGAAGUGGGAACCGAGUCUCUGCAGUUCUUGUCUUCCUUCGGUAAGUUCAUGUUUCUGAAGAGGCCCCUGGUAGUUUGUUUCUCUUUACUGGAAGCUGCUGGGUCUGAUGAGUAUCACAUCUGGUUCAGCUGUCAAUGGCUGAACAUGCAAACAGGAAGGAUAACAUUCACUUUUAUUACGGCUUAUAAAGGUUGGUAUUAACCUUUUCAGCAAUAAAGAAGUGCUUCAGGAAUGGCACAGCCAAGCAAAUUUGAUGAAAGAAAAAAACUGUUUAGAUUUUCACCUACAAAUGCAGAUACAUUAUGUGACAGCAAACAGCAAGGUAGGAGACCGGAGAAAAACAAACCAUUAAUGAUACCCUUUGAUUUAUUUUCUUCAUAGCCCAUCUGUUUAAAUGUAAAGCUCAGAGGAGCGGGGCUGAGCGGGCCAGCCCCUGGCGGUGCUCUGCAGAGCCCGUGGCUCCGCAGGACCCGCUGCAGAGCGCAAACUGCUGGGAGUCGGUCCCGGCCCCCAUCGCCGGGCUGCUCCGAGGCGCUGGGACAGAGGUGCCUGUGUUGAAAUACGGGCUUUGGAAUUACUGAACGGCUCCAGUACGAGAUGUGGCCUCUGCCAAACCGAAUUUGCAGUGGGCUGGGUGUUCUGGUUCCUGCAGGGUCUGUAGGCGCUGGCGAUUGAAGGCGGGAGCUGGCUCCUGGGUCUCCGGGCGUGUGCGAGAGGCCUGGAAAGGGUUUUUCCCAAAGUAACACACAUUAAAAGCAGCACCUCAAAACACAGAUGAUUCCGGUAGUUUUGCCAUUAGAUUCUGGUUCCUGUAUGCAGCGUUGCAAGGAUGAGGCGUGCCCAUGAACACGGGUGGUUUUCCGGUGCUGUGUGACCUGACCUGCACCGCGGGGCUGGGUGCGGCACUCGGGCACCAGCACCGGCGGAGCCUGGGGCGUGGGGCAGUUCACUGUGCACAAUUCCUUCUCGUGUUCGUGAUUGCUGGGCUUGCUGCCGCUAACCUCCGAAUGUGGAAAUAAACCCGCUUUGUCUGAAA